rnacentral:rRNA from 1 species
UACGUAGGGCGCAAGCGUUGUCCGGAAUUAUUGGGCGUAAAGAGCUCGUAGGCGGCUUGUCACGUCGGGUGUGAAAGCCCGGGGCUUAACCCCGGGUCUGCAUUCGAUACGGGCUGGCUAGAGUGUGGUAGGGGAGAUCGGAAUUCCUGGUGUAGCGGUGAAAUGCGCAGAUAUCAGGAGGAACACCGGUGGCGAAGGCGGAUCUCUGGGCCAUUACUGACGCUGAGGAGCGAAAGCGUGGGUAGCAAACAGG